GAGGGUGCGAGCGUUGUCCGGAAUCACUGGGCGUAAAGGGCGCGUAGGCGGCCUGAUAAGUAGGGGGUGAAAUCUUGCGGCUUAACCGCAAGGCUGCCUUCUAAACUGUCGGGCUCGAGCACAGUAGAGGCAGGUGGAAUUCCCGGUGUAGCGGUGGAAUGCGUAGAGAUCGGGAAGAACAUCAGUGGCGAAGGCGGCCUGCUGGGCUGUUGCUGACGCUGAGGCGCGACAGCGUGGGGAGCAAACAGGAUUAGAUACCCUGGUAGUCCACGCCGUAAACGAUGGGCACUAGGCGUCGGGGGGAGCGACCCUCCCGGUGCCGUCGCUAACGCAGUAAGUGCCCCCGCCUGGGGAGUACGGCCGCAAGGCUG
rnacentral:rRNA from 1 species